rnacentral:rRNA from 1 species
CCUACGAGAGGCAGCAGUGAGGAAUAUUGGUCAAUGGGCGGGAGCCUGAACCAGCCAAGCCGCGUGAAGGAAGAAGGCGCCAGGCGUCGUAAACUUCUUUUGUCGGGGCACAAAGGGCGCCACGCGUGGCGUUGUGAGUGUACCCGAAGAAAAAGCAUCGGCUAACUCCGUGCCAGCAGCCGCGGUAAUACGGAGAGUGCGAGCGUUAUCCGGAUUUGUUGGGUUUAAAGGGUGCGUAGGCGGUCCGGAAAGUCAGCGGUAAAAGCCCGGGGCUCAACCCCGGCGAGCCGUUGAAACUGUCGGACUAGAGACGGCGAGAAGUACGCGGAAUGCGCGGUGUAGCGGUGAAAUGCAUAGAUAGCACGCAGAACUCCGAUUGCGAAGGCAGCUUACUAAACUAUAACUGACACUGAAGCACGAAAGCGUGGGGAUCAAACAGGAUUAGAUACCCGGGUAGUC